AGUAAGAGUCAUAACUGAAAAUUCUGGAAGAGAAUUCUUGUUAUUGACAAAUGAAUAUAAAAAACAAAUAUUUAUCACGAUACUUUUGUACUUUGGGAACAAAAAAAAGGAAAAUAAAGUGGACAAUUCAAUCUGAGAAACAGGCUAGAAAAUUCAGCUACGGAGGGAAAGAUGGAGACUUAGCCCUGAAUGAUCUCAUCCAAAAGCAACAAAAAAGACAGGAUUAGAUCUGAUUCCCAAGUUUGUAGGAUCUUAGCUCCCCAACCAAGGAUCAAACCUGGGCCUCUGCAGUGGAAGCAUGGCGUCUUAACCACUGAACCAUCAGGAAGUCCCCUGAAAACGUGUUAACGUAUGAAACAGUUUUUAUUUCCCCAGAGACGCGUGGGAAUUCCAGUUAUCACACUCGGAAUCUCGUCUUUGUACCUUUCGCCAUUCUCGAGGGAGGGCAGUGCUACGCUGCUGAUUUGCUACCCGCCGUUACCCACGGCAAC